AUAUGUAUAUGAUCCAGAUUUUCUUGUAAAAAAAUAAAUUUAAGUAAACAAGAACAAUAAUAUCAAGGUCAUUAGAUAUUUGGGUUGCACUCUAACAGUGCUUUGAGGUGUGGUUCCCUUAUUUUUCUUGUUCUGAAAUCCUUUCAGCUUUCUAAUUAUUAUUUUUCUUUAUAAAAAAAGGAUCUAUUUGUGAGUUUGUUUGCUGAAGGAAAUUUUUGGCACAUCCAGCUUGUUCAUUAAAGAAAACAAUCAUGAGCUGCUUCAGCUGUUGCAUAGAAGAUGAUACGCACAAGGCUGCUGAUAAUGGACCAUUCAUGACAAAUACAGCAGGCAACAAUGGAGGUUAUCAUGCUGCUGAAGCUGCACCGAAGGACACAAAAACUGUAGAUGUUCAGCCUAUUGCUGUCCCCUCCAUCCCAGUGGAUGAAUUGAAGGAAAUAACAGACAACUUUGGUACAAAAUUUUUAUCAGUUUCUUUAUGACUUAACAGGUUUCAAUGGUAUCAAGACUGAAACAUGAAAAUGUUGUUGAGCUUCUUGGUUAUUCUGUUGAUGGCGGUCUCCGAGUCCUUGCAUAUGAGUAUGCUUCGAAUGGAUCUCUUCAUGAUAUUCUCCAUGGUAAGUAAUGUCAAUUUUUUCCUUUUCUAAGUGGACUCUUAUUCCUGGACAACACCACUACCGCAUGGAGAAGGGUUAAAUUAUUUUUGAAGUGUCUACUCUCAAGUGACUGUUAAGUUAAUUUUUGGUCUUUUUAAGUAUGAAGGUUUGUUACUUUGCCAAUCAGUAUAUUUGAGGCCUUUUUAUGGUUAGUUCUUGCAAGCUUAAAGAAUGGUUGACUGCAGCCUCUUGCUAGAAAAUGAAUUCGAGAAAGGAUGUAUUGCUCUGUUCUUACAAAGAUACAUGAUGCUGUCAUUUAGAACUGUUCAAGUAUUGCCUCAGAGCAACUAAAAUCUCCAGAGAGUAAUACGUAGAAGUCACUUCCCUUUCAUGGAUCUAGCCCCCUUAAGCCAAUAGUGCCCAUGUAUUUAAGUGUAUUUCUAUUUUAACUUGAUAAUUUUUUUAAUCCUUUAGUGGCAAUAGAACAUGACUUCAGAACUAAAAAAUGUGUCUUAUAGGUUCAGCACCAUCUAAUAAGCUUUGUCACAUAAAAUACAAGCUCACAAAAGUAUAAUUGAAAAGCAUUCAUGUGUCCGACCUCAUUUUAUUGGGACACAAGACACAGUUUGGUUUGUUUUGGCUUUGAAAUGUUGCUUGUUUACUGAAUUGUCAUAGUAUCUGAUAGGGAAGUAUGUCAUAGGCAUCCUUUGAUAGUUCAAACCCUGGAAUCCCUCAUUCAAAAAUGUAGCAAUCAUUCAGUUAUUGAACCUGGGGAUGGGGCUGAAGGGUAAAAGAACCAAAUAGUAGAUGAAUCCACUGAUUGUCCCCUCCCCAAAACACCAAUUACAGGUGUUUGACAAUCUUUCUGGUCUGCCCUGUCUGUUAAGUUAAUUUUUGUCAGUGUCAUUCUUGCAUGUUUUGUCUUUCCAUAUGCCUCCUAAGAGACUUUUCUACUUCAGCAGCGCUUUAGGUGAGUUGUCCUUAUAUGCAGAAUUCAAUGUGUCAUCUUUUCUACUUCAGGACUUUGCAAUUAUUUACAAUGGAUUCUUAUUUUAGGGAAUUGACAUUAAAGAAAUGCUUGCUAGUGCAUCAUUGAUGGAUGAGGCAAAUAGGACCACCGUGCCUUGCAAAGGAUGGUCCAUC